GCCUUCUGGACCUGGAAGGCAGCUUCUGCCUGCCUCGGCACAGGGGUGUCACCAUUCCCCCGGAGGGCAAUGACACCAACUGGGGUGACUGCCCUGCCCUCGGGGGACUUUCCCGGUGCUGGAGACCAGGAAAAUCAGCAUUUUCAUCAAAGGCAUCCCAGAUGCCCAACUUCGGGAGGAUGGUUUCCAGGUCAUAGGAGGCAGAAAUGGAGAAUUUUGGAAUGAACACCUCUACCCACCUGUGGAGACGGGGUAAAGAAAAAGGACAAUGAGAAAAACUGGCAAAGAUAUUCAGAUUCAACUUUUUUGGAACUCUGGAAAUUAGCCAAAGGCUUGCAGCAACCCGGGGAGAGUUAAUUCAAGAAAAAUGGCUGAAUCUCGGCAGGGGAGUGUGAGGCGGGCUGCAGAGACGGGGCCACCGGCAGGAGGUGCAGACUUGAUUCUGCCCGUGGGAUCCACGGAGGGGAUGCAGAGGAGCACCUCCAUUCCAAAGGAAUUUCCGAGGACUGUUCUGGGAGCCACGCAUGUCCUUCACUGCUCCCCCUGCCCCGGGGGCAGUACCCCGUGCAGGAGCGGCUGGAGAAGCUUGGUGCACUGGCCCGAAUGCAAGGGCCUUUACACCAGCGUGGAAGGGACUGAAGGGGAGAGACACUUGGGACGAAAAGCCCGAGUUUCUCCUUUUUGAUGAACCCCGUGACAGGCUGAGGGUGCUCAGGACGCCGUGCGAGAACGUGGGGUCUGUAAGGACAGCUCUGACGGGCGGAGGGACCUGCUGGGUUAGCAUGGGGUCGUGUCAAAGAGGAAAUCACGGGCCCAACAUGCUCUCACUUACACCGAGUUCCCAACAGGGCUGAAAACCUCAUCCAACUGCAGGUUCCGCCUCUACGCAGUCGGUCAGGAAUCUCUCCAUCAGGCCAGUGAGUCGGCCACAUGGACCCUCCAUCCCCCCCAAGGGAGAUGAAGUCAUCUGUGUGGGAAGACCCCUUGCCUUUCCCUCUAGGGCAAAACGCGUGGCCUGGAACAAUCUCUUUCGUUUGCCAA